AUUUUAUUACUUGUUAGCGAUUUGUGCACUUGCUGUGGUUGCAAAAUAGCGAAAUAAGUUUUUGGAGCUGUUGCCGGGGAUUCUUGAUUUUAGUAAUAUCAAGCGAUAGGCAAUUUAGCUGAUUUAGGCAAUUAUAUUUAUUAUUUAAUUUUAUUUUACUGGUUGUAUUUCUUUUCUUUUCUCUCAGGUGCCCGAUCUGGUAUAUGACCA
rnacentral:misc_RNA from 1 species